ensembl:lncRNA
AUUUGCUUUCAGCCGCAGAGAGAAGAAGCUGCCCAAGAAUGGAAAGGAAGAAAUAUAUCACAUCAUCUGUCUGUCCACAGGCUUUCCUCUGGGCUUAUGGAGAUUUCCUAGGGGUAAUUAUUUCCCACUGACUCAGACCACAGGACAGUGUGAGCACGUAACAAAUAGGACUGCAGUUAAGAGCUAGGGCUAGGACUUGGAGGAUGUGUAGGCAAAACGGAAAGAGAGCCGGGGGAAGAAAAACCGAAAUGGAUUCAUUCUCUGUCCUGGAUGGAGGAGGAGAGGAGAAGAGAAGAGAAGGGGACGUGCGAGCUUCCUUCAACUGCCUCUGUCCGGUGAAAAGUGCUCAGACCCCCGGGGCUGCGCCGGACUCCGGAGUCCGCGCGGACUUUCGCGCUGAGCUGCCAAUCAAACCGCUCACAGCCACCACCCUGCUCUGGCACCGACAUCAGCCUGAUGAUGCAGGGCGAGGAGUGCCCAGCGACCUUUGUGUGCUCAAGGCACAGCUUUAUCCUGGCCUUCCGUGGGACAGUGCACAUGGAAAUGUGUGAUCUAUUCCUUCCUGAGCUCCAGUCAUGCCUUGCUUUGCAGUUCCUCUCGCUGGUUCUCAUAUCCUGGCAAGAUGCUACAAACCCCACAUGACAAAGAUUAGAAGGAAAUACUUAUUUGAAGAAAUCUCUGUCAUUAGCUGUGCUGUAAGUUUUAUAAAAGGUUCCAUUUCAUAAAAUGCAAAUUCUGGUCUAAUUGUUCCUCUGCAAGCCUUAAUGGUCUCUGAGCUGCAUAGUUAAUCUACUACCUGCCUCUACUCACACAUCCAGCAGAGCUGGGUAAAACACGCCUUCACACAUCAGUUACAUCUAUUUUAACUUUUCUUCUGACAAGUUCUACUGAUUGUUUACUGUAACUUGCACCCAGACAAAUGGAUUUGGACUUGCGCUCUUAAAGCUGCACGACAGCCAAGCACAUCCCCCUGGGGACACCCACCCCCCAAAAUGUUUCUGUGGGUUCACCUCCCUGCGUGGGCAGCUCCAGAUGCUGCCAUGGCUGGGGGGGGGAGGAAUGGGUGGAUGGGAUUCCUGAGUCAUCUUCUCCUUCCCCUUGGAGAGAGGUGGCUGCAGGGAACUGUCUGCUCUCUGCAGGGACAGAGGGCUGUGGUUAUCAGCUCCUCAGAGCUGUAAAGGCAGAAACACGAAUGCACUGCAGCAUUGUUGUGCCUGCACACACACCAUGCACCUGCAGUGUCCUGCAGCCACCUCUGGAUACCAAGAGCUCACUGUGGUCAACCCCUGGCUUUCCAACACAGGUGAAGACAGCCCUGAGGCAGCAGGUCAGAUACGAGUACUCAGAAAAGCGGGUACUUGCUGCAGAGUUUCUGUGGUGUGGGCAGAUCAGAGACCCUGGGUCUUUAGUCAGACCAGGCACAGGUCAGGGACUGAAAUAUUUGUCCCACACCUACCACAGCAAAGUUGUGGUUGUUGACUUGAGUGACAGGGGAAUAGAGGACUGGGAUGUCACAGCCCAAAGUCCCUUAAGCCUUGGCUUGACGGGUGAGAUCUUGAACAUAGCCAGAGCCUACAACAUUAAAGGCUUUAUAAAAGCAACAGUACCAGUUUAAAAUCAACCUCCCACAUUACCAACAGCCCCAGCAGGUGUAACGUGAUCCAGGUAGCCCAAGCCAGUGAGUAAACAAACUGCUGCUUUCUGAAUGAGCUGCACCAGAGAAAUGCUUCUAACUGGGAAUUACAGUGGCUAUUUGCACUAAGUGAGCUGUGCAAAUGAGCAGGCUCCUAUAAUUAAUUCUCUGAAAAUGAGUGGGCUCAUAUGAUUCUAACUCUUAUUUCACACAGGUUUUUCUCUCUACACCCAAAAUGAAGUAGGGAAAAAGUAGGGAAAAAUUUCCCUGAUAAGCCUGGAAAGUUUAGUAGUAUUGGGCCGGAUCUAGCCGCUUGAACUUCAGUGGGGUCUGUUGCUGGGUUUCCUUAAGCUAGAGAAAACAAUCCUGCUGCUUCCAAACUGCCAAGUCAGUCAGAGGAAUUUAAUAUUGUCCCUAAAGAAGCUGCUUUGCUGCUCUUCUGUUGGGCUCCCAGUUCCAUUUCCAAUAAGCAGUAUUAACUUAGGGGCUUUGUGCUUGGCUACAGCAUUGCCCAUUUUUUCAUCCAUUAUAUAGAGCCUUACUGUGUAGACCAGGUGAACCUGAACACACCAUUUUAGAUCCUCUCCUCCAGGUGCUACUGCCUGGCUCCCUAACUGGAGAAGUAUGUAAAAGCAAAGAAGGUGGAUGUGUCCAAGCAGAGUCUGGACCCUGACAAGUCCCAUGGGCUUGGCAGACUCUAAGACUCACUGUGGAGUCCUUGGAAUGUGCAGACUGAGUGUACCCCACACUGAGACCCAGCAGCCCAGCUCUGCUCCAGCAUUUCUGCCUCCCAGUCUGGGUCCCAUCCUGCCCCAGAGAGCCUCUCCCCCCUCCCCUGCCCACGCUCCACUUAUUCAUGAGUUAUGAUAACAUAUAAGCAGCUUAGAGAAUUCUUAUCGGAAUACGUUGAACACAAUGCAGCAUUUAACUCUUAAUGACAGCCACCUCUGACUGUGAGUGACAUGUUAUAAAUUAUGUUUGAACUGCAUUUUUUUUUUCUUCAGAGGCAGAUAUUCCCUCUGCCACCCAGUCAGCCCUGUAACGUUGCACUUGUGGCCUUAAUCCCACUUGGAUGUGUGCCCUGCUGCCUCCACUUUCCGUCACUUGGGUACUUUAGUAUUCUUGAACAAGUGAACAAUCUUUGUUUCUGUACCUUAUUAGGCCAAAGACCAUAGCAGCGAGUGAUGGCAUCAGCAGGCCCUGCAGGCAGGAUUCUCUGCAGACACAGCCAACCUCCAACAAACCCCUUUUUAUCCUCCUGUUUCUAGGAAGAAUUAUGAUGGUGGUGCCCUGCUGUUGAUCAGUCAAAUCUGUGGUAGGCCUAGAGAUAAGUCCUGUAAGUGUGGUGUACUGUAAAACAGCGGCUCCCAUUCAUUAGUAGCUUGUGUGUAAUAAACCACCCAAAGGAGGGGGGUGGGGAGGGAGAGGGACGAGCAGCUGCAGUGUGCAGGAACAAACAACACAACUCAUUCUUGGGAGCCAAAACUUUCUAAUUUGCUGCUGGGCUGCUGGGAGCACUCAAAUUCUUUCUGAUAAUACGCUCGUGCCCUCAGUGUCUCUCCUGGAGUUUCCCAAGUCCUGCUCUCUCGAGGUCCCUGAGUCUGGGACUUUGAGCCCAAAACACAGAAGGGAGCUGAGUGGGAAGGAGGGGAACACACCAGUGCCCACUGUUUGCAGACUCAAGCAUAAGAAAGCCGUGGACUCCCAAUCACUCUGCUGGGAAUGGCUGGUGCAUGAUCUGCUUGUGCAGUGGGUAAACAAAGCAUCACAUGGGCUGCAGAGCAAGCAUAAGGCAGGGAGCAAACGCAGGGCUCUCAGGGCAUGCACAAGGACAGAGUGUCUCAGAUGUGUUAGUGACUUAGAGCCCGCUGGAACUUUUAGGAACAUCUAUCUCCCAAGAUGUAAAAUGUUCAAACAAUCCUCAAAUGUGUUAUAACUGAAAAAUCAUUUGGCUUAAUCUGUUCUAAUUUUUUUCACAAGUUCUGGCAAAUCUUUAUAGCUAGUAGGCAAUGAAUUUAAGUGAAGUCUGCUAUAAUAUAAUGUAAGAUAUUGCACAUGUUGAGACAUCAGUAGCUCCUAAUAUUUGCAUAGCUGUGAAUACGUUGGUGCUUUUGGAUCUCAGCCUUGGACCUUCCAAUGGCCUGUGGAACAUUUCAGACCAGGAUGUGAAAUUAUUGAGUGUUGCACAACUGCUCUCAUAGACCAGGCCUUUGUGCUGAUGUUUGUAUUAUCACAGGAAAAUGAAAUUAUUUUCAGAUAGCUGCUGCUCUGGAGGAGUGCUGUACCCUCGCAGGAGAUGACAGUGACUGCUUUUUCCAGGGAUGUACCAGGCUGUGAUGGUGCCUGAGCUGUCUCCUAACAUUUCUAUAGACAAGGGCUACUUUAAUGGCAAAUUCAGGCUUGGGCCAAAUGCAAGCACUCUUUAUGCAACCACAAGGCAAAACCACAGAUUUGAGGUUUUUCACUCUGCUGGAGAAGAUCCAUCUCCCUCCUCUCUGGGAGGAGCUGUGCUGUGAGUUUUAAGCUCUGAAAUGAGAGGGGCUUCUGCCAGCCUGGUGGACUGAGAUGAAAACACCUUGAAGAGCAUCCACAAAGCAGUGUUAACUAAACCUGGGCACAAAGUAGUUUUGUUUUCUCUUUUGAAAGCUCAGGUAGUACAGUUUAGGUAGAUCUCAGUGUGGCAUUUUGGCAUUUUGAACAAAGUCAAAAUAACUUGACAUUUUGGUUUUCCUUCCCCAGGCUUAGGUAGGUAGGUAAGUUGGUAGCUUUAUAACCAAAACUGGCUGCUCACUG